AGAUCCUUUAAAGAAAAGGCCAUGAAUGGUGCUGGGGUCAGGAACAAACUGCAGUUUUAGAAGAAUUCAUGCUGCAUCAGAUGUCAUGAAACAUUCAUCAAUACCACAAACUCUUGUGAUUGCCAAUCAAACAUAUUGACUGGAGGAUUGUGUUUUCGUGCUCAUCCAAAAACCUUGACUACUACAGUUGUUACAAAUAUUAUCUAUAGAGAGAAUUUAAAGAUAUCGUCCGCUUGGUUUGCCAGCAACUUGAAAGCAUCAGCGAUUGCAUGUUUGAGGUUUGCAAAUCUGACAGCUUGCCAGGCUUUGGGAAACAUGUGUGUCAUGAUGAUGAAUUCAAUAAACAUAGCAGCACUACCUAAUGAUGCUUGUGGACUUUUUCAAACAAUAUUUAAAAGUACUGUACACCUUGGAAUUAUCCAUACAGUAUCCUCCUGGUAAGUUGGAAGAACUUGCCAUUGGCUAACAUUGAGUAGUCAGCAUUUUGAUCAUCAGGCGUAGGACUCUGCCCUGGUUGUACUAUGAAGGCCAUACUGACAGUUUAGCACCCAGAACUUUUCAUCAAGAUCCAUUUCCAACAGUAUUUUAUUUCGAGACAUUUCAAGAGGUUCUGCUAUAACACGUGUUCCGACUGCAAAUUGGCUAUAACACAACUGACAAAUAAGGGAAUGCUAUUUCUAAAAUGCGUACUUGUGUUGGCUAUAAUGUAAUUCCAUCGAUUCCAACCUCUGUCCUUCAACCCAUGGACCAGGGUGCAAUAGCAGCUUUUAAAGCUUAUUAUUUAAGGCACACAUUUAAGAGGCUGAUUGCAGCCACUGAGGGGGAUAAGGACAGUGUCCUUCAAUUUUGGAGAAGCUUUAACAUCAAGAAUGCAAUUGACAUUAUCAUGGAGAGCUGGGGUGAAGUCAGUACUGAUUGCAUGCAGUUUGGCAGAAGCUUCUCCCAGAUUUUUUUUCAAGUAUUUAAAACCUUUGAUCCAUCAGAGGAGUGUCUAAGAAUCAGAGAACAUUGUGUUGAUCUUGCAAAACAAGUUAGAUUUGAAGCAGUGGAGAGUGAGGAUGUUGAAGAGCUGCUUGAGUUCCACUGUGAAAACCUCUCUGAACACGUCUCUGAACUACAAAACAACUUGUCCCUGAGGGGGAAGUAGAAGCUGGAGAUGAAGAUGAUGAAGUCCAGGAUGUAGCACCACUUCUGUUUUGUCUUCUAUCCUGAGGUAAAUUGUGAAGCAGUUGCAGCUGUUAGAGAACAACGAUUACAAGGUAGAAUGCAGCGGGGUAGCAGUUCAUGGAAGAAGAUCUUAUUUGGCACUCUAUGAACAGCUUCUUCAUGAAAAAAGAAAAAGGGCAAAGCAGCAAAAAUUGGAUGUCUUUUUUAAGACAACCCCCAAGAAACAGUCAGAAGACAAUGAACCACAGCCAUUCACUUCUGGAUUAACUAUUUUAUACCCUAACCCUGCAACCAUAAUUGACACUGAAGGUGAUGAUGAUGACCCCCUCAGCCCCUGCAUUAACAACAGAGCAACCUUAAAACUUCCUCUCUCAUCAAGUCAUCUUGACAUUUUUUCAAGACAAGAUGUUACAUUUGCUUUUAUUUCGCUGUCGUGCCUGACUGCACUUUUGAAUGGAAUGUCGGUCUUGUUAAAUGGGGUUGUUUGCAUUUA